rnacentral:rRNA from 1 species
UACGGAAGGGGCAAGCGUUGUUCGGAAUCAUUGGGCGUAAAGGGCGCGUAGGUGGUUCUGUAUGUCUAUCGUGAAAGCGUACGGCUCAACCGUAUUUUGUCGGUAGAAACUGCAGGACUUGAGGCUGGGAGGGGCUGGUGGAAUUCCCUGUGUAGCGGUGAAAUGCGCAGAUAUCAGGAGGAACACCGGUGGCGAAGGCGGGUCUCUGGGCCGAUACUGACGCUGAGGAGCGAAAGCGUGGGGAGCGAACAGG